CAUGCCUUGGGGUAAUUGCCUACUGAUCAUGAAUGAAAAAAUAUGAGAGUCGAGCUAGAUCGAUCGAUUCUAUCUCCAUCAUAUGUUGUGCUCCUCCUGAUUUAAGAUCUGCUUGAGAUAUCAUCAUAUGGAAAUAGGAAGGUCACCCUACGAUAUCGCCUCUCAUCCUCUCAAGUCUCGUAUCUCAUGCUCGAUCUACCUCCACUUGGAGCUCCACCUCACUCUGGGCUCCUCUUGACUUCUGAAGCUCCAUCUCGUACUGGACUCUCUGUCAGAUAGCAAUAUCCUUUUAUUAUCUUUUUUUUCUUCAGAAUAAUCCUAUCGC
rnacentral:lncRNA from 1 species